AUGGCCAAGUCCAAGAACCACACCACACACAACCAGUCCCACAAAUGGCACAGAAAUGGCAUCAAGAAACCACGGUCGCAAAGAUAUGAAUCUCUUAAGGGAGUUGACCCCAAGUUCCUGAGGAACAUGCGCCUUGCCAAGAAGCACAACAAGAAAGGCCUGAAGAAGAUGCAGGCCAACAAUGCAAAGGCAGUGAGUGUGCGAGCAGAGGCCAUCAAGGCCCUGGUGAAGCCUAAGCUGCCAAGCCCAAGAUGCCAAAGGGCCCCAGCCGCAAACUCAGCCGUCUGGCUUUCAUCGUUCACCCCAAGCUUGGGAAGCAGAUUCGAAGCUACAUGGCCAAGGGUCAGAGGCUCUGCCAACCGAAGCCUAAGGUCCAAACCAAGGCAGGGGCCAAAGCUCCAGCUAAGGCCCAGGCUUCAGCUCCAGCCCAGGCUCCCAAAGGUGCCCAGGCCCCUGUGAAGGCCCCAUAG
rnacentral:lncRNA from 1 species